GGAGGUUCUCGGGUGACACACUCCGGAAUCGGGCUCCCUCCUCUCUGGUUCCGGGAGUGUCACCAGAGAACCGCA
rfam:Myotis brandtii contig294672, whole genome shotgun sequence.